rnacentral:rRNA from 1 species
AGUGAACGCUGGCGGUAGGCCUAACACAUGCAAGUCGAACGGCAGCACAGUAAGAGCUUGCUCUUACGGGUGGCGAGUGGCGGACGGGUGAGGAAUACAUCGGAAUCUACUUUUUCGUGGGGGAUAACGUAGGGAAACUUACGCUAAUACCGCAUACGCCCUACGGGUGAAAGCAGGGGAUCGUCGGACCUUGCGCGAUUGAAUGAGCCGAUGUCGGAUUAGCUAGUUGGCGGGGUAAAGGCCCACCAAGGCGACGAUCCGUAGCUGGUCUGAGAGGAUGAUCAGCCACACUGGAACUGAGACACGGUCCAGACUCCUACGGGAGGCAGCAGUGGGGAAUAUUGGACAAUGGGCGCAAGCCUGAUCCAGCCAUACCGCGUGGGUGAAGAAGGCCUUCGGGUUGUAAAGCCCUUUUGUUGGGAAAGAAAAGCAGCAGGUUAAUACCCCGCUGUUCUGACGGUACCCAAAGAAGAAGCACCGGCUAACUUCGUG